rnacentral:lncRNA from 1 species
ACAUCAACGAGAACAACAAACCCUUUUUUGUAUUUCUUUCUGAGUGACUGUUUUUCGAAGAGUGGUUGAGCUAGUUGGCUCCAAUGUUUCUAUGAGUAAGUAAGAACUCAUAAAUAUACCAUGGUUACUAUGAGAGUGUUUCUUCAAGAGGUAUUUUGUUACUAUAAUAAUUUGGAAUCGGAAUAUCUGUAAGUUUGUGCCAUCAUAAAUCGUAUUCUACAU